GUGGGAAGGCGCAGGGCCACACACCCUCCAUGCCCGCGGCCCGCGCCCCGACACCUCGCGCCCAGGGUGCCUCGCAAUGCCCGUCGAAUGAACAGCACAGGCGGGCCGCGCCAGAAGCGGGCGAUCCCGCAGUGUCCUGCAGCCGCGGACGCCGCCUGGCUAGGAUGACACCACGUUGAGCCCGCCUGCAAACAACAACAACAACAACGCCGCCGCGGCCACCGGUCCUGCUCCGCCGAAGCGCCGCGCCGCUGCAGCUGGUGUCGCCACCUCCGCGUCCCUGGCUGUCCGGAGCGCCCGGCCGCUGGUGUAUGUCGCGCCUGCCC
rnacentral:lncRNA from 1 species